CACUGUUUUAUAUUAAAUGAUCUUUGGACGUAAAACCAAAACAUGUUCAUAUCACUGCAGCAAUAAUUAUUAUUAUUAAUAACGUAUAUUCCGUAUAUCGAACUCAGGAAAUAAACAGUUACGUUCAACGGUUGAAGGACAAUGUAUACAAAAUGUUGAUAUGGAAACAAAGGAUAUCAUAACGCAGAAUUUCAACAAAAUUGAAAGCAAGAUAUCAAUUCGCAACAGUCAAAUCAAAAGACAAAGACAGUAUUUUGAUAGUAUUUUCUAUUAUUAAUAGAAAAUACUAAAACGUAAAAUAGUUGCAGCUUUGCAUUGUGUACGAGGAUAUACUUCAUAUUAAUAAU